UCCUCUCCACACACACACACACACUCACACACACAGAGAGACAGCACACACACACACUCACACACACUCACACACACAGAGAGACAGCACACUCACACACACUCACACAGAGACAGCACACUCACACACACACACACACACACUCACACACACACAGAGAGACAGCACACUCACACACUCACACACACUCACAGAGACAGCACACUCACACACUCACACACACUCACACAGAGACAGCACACUCACACACACUCAGAGACAGCACACUCACACACUCACACACACUCACACAGAGACAGCACACUCACACACACUCACACAGAGACAGCACACUCACACACUCACACAGAGACAGCACACUCACACACACAGAGAGACAGCACACACACACACUCACACACACUCACACAGAGACAGCACACUCACACACACUCACACAGAGACAGCACACUCACACACUCACACAGAGACAGCACACUCACACACACUCACACAGAGACAGCACACUCACACACACUCACACAGAGACAGCACACUCACACACACUCACACAGAGACAGCACACUCACACACUCACACACACUCACACAGAGACAGCACACACACACACUCUCACACACACACUCACUCACACUCACACACACACACAUCUGUCCGAGCACCCCCACCCGCGGCCGGAAAGUUCAACUUUCCCGCUACACUGCCUUUUUCUUUCUUUCUUUUUUUUUUAACCACACUGCUCUGCUCGGGGGCCCCCUGCAGGGGUGGCGGGGUGUGCGAGCCAGCGAGCGAGCGAGCGGGCGGGCGAGCCCGGGCCGGGUCCCGCACACACCGCGGGGCUCCGCCGUCGGGCAUCCCGCGCUCGCUCCUCCGGCCCUCGGCGCAGGCCCCGGGGCUCCCCGGACCCUCGGUGUGCCCUUCCUCCUGCUCCCGCCGCUGCCCGCCCGCGCCCGGCGCUCUCCUCCCGCGCCCGCCCGCCGCCCCGCCCGCCCCGCGGCGCCCUCACCCACCGCUCUCACCUCCGAGCAACCCCCGCCGCUCUUGACACCGACCCUCCGCACCCGGCGUGCGGGACCCCUCACUAUCCACGCCUCCCAUUGGGCGGCGCUCCCGGCAGAGGCAGCCAAUCGGAGCGGGCAGCGCGGCCUCGCGCAUGCGCGCCGGCGCCCGGGCGGGGCUUGCAGAGUUUCCUCCACGCAGACACAGGGGCGGGGGCCGGUGGGCGGGGCCGGGCCCCGGGGGAGGCGCCUGCGCAGUCCUCCCCGGGAGGGCCGCUCCUGGCCUGCGCUUCGGCCAUCGAGCGAGCGGAGCAGGCGAGUGGGCAUCCUGGAGGGAUGGAGGGAUGGAGGGAGGGAGGGGUGA
rnacentral:lncRNA from 1 species